rnacentral:snoRNA from 1 species
AAGACUACACUUUCAGGGACCAUUUCUAUUGUAUGUUACCAGAGAAGUGUUUCUAAAUAGCGUCAGGCUUCAAAAACCCUAAUGAGCUGUAGUGCUUUUUUCUGAGUGUGAAGCUGGCCAUUAGUGCCACCUGGUGGGCCUACUGCUUGCUCUUGAUCUUUUUUCCUUUGGGAAGGAUAAAAGGGAGAAAACUCAAGCUGAAGGAU